rnacentral:rRNA from 1 species
AUGCACGCUGGCGGCGUGCUUCACCCCUGCCAGUCGAACGGUGAAGCAGAGCUUGCUCUGUGGAUCAGUGGCGAACGGGUGAGUAACACGUGAGCAACCUGCCCCUGACUCUGGGAUAAGCGCUGGAAACGGCGUCUAAUACUGGAUAUGAGCUGCGACCGCAUGGUCAGCAGUUGGAAAGAUUUUUCGGUCUGGGAUGGGCUCACGGCCUAUCAGCUUGUUGGUGAGGUAAUGGCUCACCAAGGCGUCGACGGGUAGCCGGCCUGAGAGGGUGACCGGCCACACUGGGACUGAGACACGGCCCAGACUCCUACGGGAGGCAGCAGUGGGGAAUAUUGCACAAUGGGCGAAAGCCUGAUGCAGCAACGCCGCGUGAGGGAUGACGGCCUUCGGGUUGUAAACCUCUUUUAGCAGGGAAGAAGCGAAAGUGACGGUACCUGCAGAAAAAGCGCCGGCUAACUACGUG